rnacentral:rRNA from 1 species
UACGGAGGGGGCGAGCGUUGUUCGGAUUUACUGGGCGUAAAGCGUGCGCAGGCGGCCCGUUAAGACAGGUGUGAAAUCCCUGGGCUCAACCUAGGAAUUGCGCUUGUGACUGGCGGGCUCGAGUACGGUAGAGGGGGGUGGAAUUCCUGGUGUAGCAGUGAAAUGCGUAGAGAUCAGGAGGAACACCGAUGGCGAAGGCAGCCCCCUGGGCCUGUACUGACGCUCAUGCACGAAAGCGUGGGGAGCAAACAGG